rnacentral:rRNA from 1 species
UGCGCAGGCGGUUUUGUAAGUUUGUCGUGAAAUCCCCGGGCUCAACCUGGGAAUGGCGAUGAAGACUGCAAGGCUAGAAUCUGGCAGAGGGGGGUAGAAUUCCACGUGUAGCAGUGAAAUGCGUAGAGAUGUGGAGGAACACCGAUGGCGAAGGCAGCCCCCUGGGUCAAGAUUGACGCUCAUGCACGAAAGCGUGGGGAGCAAACAGGAUUAGAUACCCUGGUAGUCCACGCCCUAAACGAUGUCUACUAGUUGUCGGGUUUUAAUUAACUUGGUAACGCAGCUAACGCGUGAAGUAGACCGCCUGGGGAGUACGGUCGCAAGAUUAAA